AAAGGCUGGAUCCAUCCUGUGGUUGAGGAGAAACAUAAAGAUAUGGUAGACACACAAACAACACAACAGGCACAUAUUGUGGGAGAGGAGAGUGAGAUCCAAGGAGUAUAGCUCACUGCUAAUGACAUUUUGACUCAGGUCCUUAGAGCUACUUCUUGCUACUAUACAGUUUGGGCAGGGGUCCAAAGAUUCAACGUGCUACAUCUUGUGUAGACAUGACUCAAUGAGAGAAUGCCAAGGUUCGCCAAGUCACGCAUAAUUUACAUAGCCAAAAUGAGCGUACUCUCGUUUUGUUAAAAGAGAUUAUGCCAGUUGCCAUCACUAGAAUAGGCAGCCCUAGAGUUCCUACUAAUCCUCAUUCGUCUUCGUCACCAUCAUAACCUGAUCACGAGUCACAUGAUGAUCAUUAGUUUAAAGCUUUUCUAUUCCAUUUACAUGGUUUUAUAUUUGGAUGGUUAAUACUCCAUUAUAACAUAUGCUAUUAUUUUUGGAUUAAGCUAGCUUUCUCUUAUAUAUGAAUUUGACUAGGCUCUUUAUUUUGAAAUCCAUUAUAGUUUGGGCAUGUAAUGUAGUUACUUAUUCUGAAAUUGGAAUUGACUGGUGAAGAUAUGAUAUA